AGAAAAAAAAAGAUCGUAAUUCAUAUCAAGUCGAACUUAUUUUCUAUUAUAUAAAUAGACAACUUUCUAUCAAGUUAUAAGAUAUCUCUCUAUCUCUGUUCAACAAUCAAAAGGAAUUUACCAAAUAAAAUGACAAAUUCACGAGGGAAACACGUUGGGGAUUCAUCAACCUCUGCAAAAAAGCAAAGCAAGUGCGUUUGACACACUGUGGAACAAGUUCAACUGCUUAAAGAAUUUUUGAAGAAAUGUCCACAUCCAGAUACGGACCAGCUAAUUGAAAUUGGUAAUGAAGUAGGGCUUAACCCUAAGAAGAUCAAGACUUGGAUUUGUAACAAUAAGAUUACAACAAAGACACAAAUUGAGAAAUCAAGCAACAAGACUCUCCGGAUAGAAAAUGAAAGAAUUCGUUCUGAGAAUAUAGCAAUGAAAGAGGCAAUGAAGAAAAUUAUAUGCGCACAAUGUGAUUGUGAAAGAGCAAGAAAUUUAGAAAAUUUGAAAGCAGAAAGUCAAAGGUUGACAAAUGAGACACAGGUAACUACGAUCAGCAUUCAACACACUGUUGAUCCAGUGAGAAGCUCAAAGUCAAUUGAUAACCAUUCCUAUACUAAGAGUAGUCAGAGGUCGGCAAACCAUAAGAAAAGUAGAGGAGUCCGAGAUACCUAAUACAUCAAAAGUGCAACCUUAAGUGGAAGUUACCAAUGUGAAUUUCGUGAGGCUAAUAAAAUGCUGAGCCAGGCGGUGACUAACCAAGUUGGAAAGCAAAGAGGAUCUCGAAAAUAAGGAUCAGACACUUAGAGGAUUUCAGGAAUUAUUGAGGAUGAAUCCCACAAGCUUGUCUAGUUCAAGCACUACUGAGGAUCUGGAGAUUUGUUUGGAAAAGCUGAAGAAGCUGUUUGAGGUAAUGCACCUGGUCAAUAUUGAAGGUUUGAGCUAGCUGCAUAUCAACAUAAGAAUGUGUCUAGGACUUGGUUUGACCAGAUGAAGGAGGGAAGAAAUGAGGAUGCAACACCUCCGAGCUGGGCUUAUUUCGAAGAGGCUUUAUUGGAGAGUUACUUUCCCUGAGAACUGAAGAAGGAAAAGGUACGAGAGUUUCUUACUUUGAAACAAGACACCUAGAGUGUCAAUGAAUAUGGGCUGAAAUACACCCAACUAUCUUGCUAUGCUCCAGAGAUUGUUAAAGAUAUAAGGAGAAGAAUGAGUUUGUUCGUCGCUGGUUUGGGGCGUUCUUCAAGCAAAAAGGGAAAAGAGGCAAUGAUUAUUGGAGACAUGGACAUUUUGAGGUUGAUGAUCUAUGUGCAACAAGUAGAAGAGGAAAAUCUGAGGGACCGAGAAGGAACAAAAAUAAGAAAGCCAAGACUGCCGACUAGUCUAGGCAGUAGAAAGGGGGCUCAGACCGGCAAGAGUUUCAAAGACAAAAGGGGCUUGCACCAUCAUCUGCUAGUGCACCUGCACCCAGAGACAAGGUUGAGCAUCAUGGUCAGAACUCCCGAGCUAAACAUGUAUAGUCACAGGGUAGUGUGGCUCACGGGGUAGUAAGCCUCUGCCUGAACCAAAUGUCGUAGAAUCACUUCGGUUUUUGUCGUGAGGGCUUCUAGGGUGGCUUCAAAUGUGGUCAGACCGGGCAUUUCAUGAGGGAGUGCCCAAAGAACAAGUAAGGAGGUAGUUACGGGGGAGAUAGAGCUCAGUCUUCAUCACUUGCUUCACCAAACAACGUUGCACCAAGGGGUACUACUUUUGGUGCUGGCAGAGAAAGAAACAACUGUAUGCUCUCAACAAUUGCCAAGAAUAGGAGAAUUCGCCAGACGUUGUCACUUGUAUGAUUCAAGUCUUUGACUUUACUUUUUAUGCAUUGCUAGACCCAGGAGUGAGUUUAUGUUUUGUAACUCCAUAUAUUACCAUGAACUUUGAUAUUAUCUCUAAGAAACUCAGUUAAUCAUUCAGUGUUUCCACACCCGUUGGUGAAUCCAUUCAAGCAGAAAUAGUCUAUUGUGAUUGUCUUGUUUUUGUUAGUCACAAGAGUACAAUGGCUGACUUAGUUGAGUUAAACAUGGUAGACUUCGAUGUCAUUCUUUGUA